CAGCCGCCGCGGUAAUACAGAGGGUGCGAGCGUUAAUCGGAUUUACUGGGCGUAAAGCGUGCGUAGGCGGCUUUUCAAGUCGGAUGUGAAAUCCCUGAGCUUAACUUAGGAAUUGCAUUCGAUACUGGGAAGCUAGAGUAUGGGAGAGGAUGGUAGAAUUCCAGGUGUAGCGGUGAAAUGCGUAGAGAUCUGGAGGAAUACCGAUGGCGAAGGCAGCCAUCUGGCCUAAUACUGACGCUGAGGUACGAAAGCAUGGGGAGCAAACAGGAUUAGAUACCCGGGUAGUCCCUGUCUCUUAUAC
rnacentral:rRNA from 1 species